CUCAUUGACUCUACACGGAUACUGCACAGUACAUCACUAACAAUUAGUAUUCCUUUUAAUAUUUUUACUGUGAUAUGGUGGCAUACACUCAAACAACUAGCCUACGGUUACCUCUGCUAACUGCACAUCUAGUUAACACAAUCACUGUGCUCCUAAUGCCUACAUGUCACACCACAACCAAGAUACACACGCACAACCUAAAGAGUAAC